UGCACUUACAAGCUGUGGAAGCACAUUUCUUGUGUGACCGCGUACUUUUUGUAGAACGGGCCAACGAGUUACGUUAAGUAGCAAGGUUAAGCACUUAAGGUGCGGAGCCGUAGCGAAAGCGAGUUUUAACUGAGCGUUCAGUUACUUGACGUAGACCCGAAACCGGGCGACCUACCCAUGAGCAGGAUGAAGCGAAAGUAAAAUUUCGUGGAGGUCCGAACCCACGAGCGUUGAAAAGCUCGGGGAUGACUUGUGGGUAGCGGUGAAAUUCCAAUCGAGCCCGGAGAUAGCUGGUUCUCCCCGAAAUAGCUUUAGGGCUAGCCUCAAGGUGAGAGAUACGGAGGUAGAGCACUGAAUGUCCUAGGGGGUAUUGCACCUACCGAAGACUAUCAAACUCCGAAUGCCGUCAUCUUAUACUUGGGAGUCAGACUGUGGGUGAUAAGAUUCAUAGUCGAAAGGGCAACAGCCCAGAUCGUCAGCUAAGGUCCCUAAAUGUAAGUUAAGUGGUAAAGGAUGUGGGAUUGCACAGACAACCAGGAUGUUGGCUUAGAAGCAGCCACUCAUUCAAAGAGUGCGUAAUAGCUCACUGGUCGAGUGAUCCUGCGCCGAAGAUUUCCGGGGCUAAAACUUACUACCGAAGCUACGGCAUCAGUAAUGA
rnacentral:rRNA from 1 species